rnacentral:lncRNA from 1 species
GAGGAGCAGAAGCAGAGCCAGCAUCCUUCCUUUCCCUGAAGAUCUCCCUGGGGAUCAAACUGAGGGUUGGCAGAGAGGACCAGCAUGGCCCCAGAAAUCCUGCAGCUGCUGUUGCUGCUGCUGCUGCCGUCCCUGGGCAUCUCAGCUCAAACACAGAGCCCCAGGAAUCGUAUCCAGGCUAACUCAGAGGACACUUCCAACAACACUAACAGUUCUUCAGAGAAGAAAUUCAUCAUUUUGGGUGUGGUCCUGUCUUGCCUGCUCCUAUUAGUGCUCCUUCUUGUAGGCAUAAUUUGUGCCAGAAGAAUCUACCAGAGAGCAGAGAAAGGUGAUGACUCUGAGACCCAGGGAGAGAAGUUAAAGGGCUCUAACAUGAAGAUGGACAGCAAUGAGGAUGCUAAAGAUAUCCAUUAUGCCACAGUGUCCAAAAGAAGCCACAGAGAACUGAUCAAUGUUCAGACUCAUACUCCUGUUGAGACUGUGCAAUAUGCCACCAUAACAAAGAACCGACAUCAGUUGCCCAAAUCAAUUCCUCAUCAGGAUCCAGUAUAGAGGGAAUAAGAGAGUUAACUAUCAGCAAUGUUGGUGAAACACUCUUCCUCCAGCAGAGAAGUGUUGGAACAAAGAUAUAUGGAAAAGAGAUAUAUGUCAUUAGACAUGGACUCUAUAUGGAUUUGUUUUGCUUGGCUAUGUUUCUUUAUUGUAAGGGAGAGAUCUCUGGGGUUGGGGGGGCAGAAAAAAUAACAUUGUUUAAAUAUAUGU